UACGUAGGUGACCAGCGUUGUCCGGAUUUACUGGGCGUAAAGAGCGCGCAGGCGGUCGUUCAAGUCGAGUGUGAAAGCCCCCGGCUCAACCGAGGAAGUGCGUUCGAAACUGCAGUUCUUGAGUGUCGGAGAGGGUGGCGGAAUUCCCGGUGUAGAGGUGAAAUUCGUAGAUAUCGGGAGGAACACCAGAGGCGAAGGCGGCCACCUGGACGAACACUGACGCUGAGGCGCGAAAGCGUGGGGAGCAAACAGG
rnacentral:rRNA from 1 species